rnacentral:rRNA from 1 species
GACGAACGCUGGCGGCGUGCUUAACACAUGCAAGUCGAACGGAAAGGCCCUGCUUUUGUGGGGUUCUCGAGUGGCGAACGGGUGAGUAACACGUGAGUAACCUGCCCUUGACUUUGGGAUAACUUCAGGAAACUGGGGCUAAUACCGGAUAGGAGCUCCUGCUGCAUGGUGGGGGUUGGAAAGUUUCGGCGGUUGGGGAUGGACUCGCGGGUUAUCAGCUUGUUGGUGGGGUAGUGGCUUACCAAGGCUUUGAGGGGUAGCCGGCCUGAGAGGGUGACCGGCCACAUUGGGACUGAGGUACGGCCCAGACUCCUACGGGAGGCAGCAGGGGGGAAUCUUGCACAAUGGGCGGAAGCCUGAUGAAGCAACGCUGCGUGCGGGAUGACGGCCUUCGGGUUGUAAACCGCUUUCGACUGUGACGAAGCGUGAGUGACGGUAAUGGGUAAAGAAGCCCCGGCUAACUACGUG